rnacentral:rRNA from 1 species
GAUGAACGCUAGCGGCAGGCCUAACACAUGCAAGUCGAGGGGCAGCAUAAUGAAGUUUUCGGAUGGAUUUGAUGGCGACCGGCGGACGGGUGCGUAACGCGUAUGCAACCUACCUUUAACAGGGGGAUAAUCGAGAGAAAUUUUGUCUAAUACCCCGUAAUACUUUUUGAGGCAUCUCAGGAAGUUGAAAGAUUUUAUUGGUUAAAGAUGGGCAUGCGUGACAUUAGUUAGAUGGUGAGGUAACGGCUCACCAUGACGAUGAUGUCUAGGGGAACUGAGAGGUUAAUCCCCCACACUGGGACUGAGACACGGCCCAGACUCCUACGGGAGGCAGCAGUGAGGAAUAUUGGUCAAUGGAAGGAAUUCUGAACCAGCCAUGCCGCGUGCAGGAAGACGGCUCUACGAGUUGUAAACCGCUUUUAUGAAGGAAUAAAAAAGAGUAUGUAUACUCUUCUGAAUGUACUUUAGGAAUAAGGAUCGGCUAACUCCGUGCCAGCAGCCGCGGUAAUACGGAGGAUUCGAGCGUUAUCCGGAUUUAUUGGGUUUAAAGGGUGCGUAGGUUGUAGAUUAAGUUAGUGGUAAAAUAUAGUGGCUUAACCAUUUAUCCGCCAUUAAUACUGAUUUACUAGAGUAUGGAUGCAGCAGGCGGAAUGUGUAGUGUAGCGGUGAAAUGCUUAGAUAUUACACAGAACACCGAUUGCGAAGGCAGCUUGCUAAGGCAUAACUGACACUGAUGCACGAAGCGUGGGUAGCGAACGGGAUUAGAUACCCCGGUAGUCCACGCAGUAAACGAUGAUAACUCGUUGUAGGCGAUAUACCGUCUGUGACCAAGCGAAAGCGAUAAGUUAUCCACCUGGGGAGUACAACCCCAAGGUUGAAACUCAA